AGCGAACGCUGGCGGCAGGCCUAACACAUGCAAGUCGAACGAAGCCUUCGGGCUUGGUGGCGGACGGGUGAGUAACACGUGGGAACGUACCUUUUGGUUCGGAACAACUCAGGGAAACUUGAGCUAAUACCGGAUGAGCCCUUAGGGGGAAAGAUUUAUCGCCGAAAGAGCGGCCCGCGUUAGAUUAGCUAGUUGGUGAGGUAAAGGCUCACCAAGGCAACGAUCUAUGGCUGGUCUGAGAGGAUGAUCAGCCACACUGGGACUGAGACACGGCCCAGACUCCUACGGGAGGCAGCAGUGGGGAAUCUUGCGCAAUGGGCGAAAGCCUGACGCAGCCAUGCCGCGUGAAUGAUGAAGGUCUUAGGAUUGUAAAAUUCUUUCACCGGGGACGAUAAUGACGGUACCUGGAGAAAAAGCCCCGGCUAACUUCGUGCCAGCAGCCGCCGCGGUAA
rnacentral:rRNA from 1 species